AAGGCUGCGGCGGCGACGAGCUCCGAGCGGGACACUGAACGGCCCGUAUGCGCAAGAUAAGCACGGACUGAAUCAGGUACACGCACCUGCCGGGGACGCACUGACCGAGGUGCGGACGGCGGUACCAGGACAGGUAAAGCCGCGAACACUCGGACCUAAGAACUUGACAGGUACACCCUGCCUGAUGAAGCUACGUACGGCCAGGUGCGCAUCGAGUGAAUCAGGUCAUCAUCUCACCCUUGUUCAUUAUUGGAUGGAGAAACCAGGGUCCCAGAGACACUGGCCGGCUGGGGCAAGAUCACCACUCAUUCCUAUCAACAGCUGGGUUAAAGGUGCAGAAGACAUGCUUAUUCGAUUUGCAGGUGACCCAAAACUAGAUGCAGUGGCUGGUAUUUUAAAUGACCAAACAAGAGCCCAAAAUCCCCUAAAGCGGAUGAGAUGAUGGACUAACCCCUCUACGGAUGGAUGUAAAAUUAAAAUUUUUUGCAUGAAAGAGAUUUUGGCUGAAGGUUCAUUGCACAUUGAGAUGGUUGCCCCAAAUGAUUGUGGUCUCAGGCUGAGUCUGUAGAGGUACAGGUUGACGAUGAGGGAGGUGAUAGCUGGAGGGUUGUGCUCAACUCUGGUUGUCGUACAUUUGAGGAGACAGGGAGAGACCAGAGUCCAGUUUGUGGAGGGUAAAGGUUAGUGAGGAACUGGGGAUACUGAUCUUGCAGAAGAGAAGACUCAAAAGGGCAGAGGCAGGAACAGUGGUAUAACCCUGCCUGGCUCCAAGGGCAGAACUGGCACCCAUGGAGAUAACAGGGGCCUGAGAACCAGCUCUGUGGCUAUCAGAACUUUCCCACAGUGAAUCAGAGUGCCUUCAGAGGUGGUGAGCUCCCCAUCACCAAUGGUAUGCAAGCAGAGUGAGGAAAGGAUUCCUGUUUCCAGCUCUCAGAUGGUUUUAUCAACAGCAAAAAAACUAGACCCUACUGAUAAAAAUUUCUGUUGGCUAUAUAUACACAUAUAGUUAACAAAUAUGUAAUCCAUAUUUCCCCUAUUUUAAGGUUUAUUUUAUUUUAUUUUUGAGACAGGGUCUCACUCUGUCACGCAGGCUAAAGUGUAGUGCAGGAUCUUGGCUCACAGCAGCCUCUACCUCCCGGUUUAAGCCAUUCUCCCACCUCAGCCUCCUGAGUAGCUGGGACUACAGGCUCCUGCCACUACACACCUGGCUAAUUUUUGUAUUUUUUGUAGAGACGAAGUUUCGCCAUGUUGCCCAGGCUGAUCUCAAGCUCUUGGGCUCAAGCAAUCCACCUGCCUUGGCCUCCCGAAGUGCUGGGAUUACAGGGUGAGAACCUACUUCUUCAUAAAGAGAAUUUGGAGGGAGCUUUUUGUUCUGCGGGGACAACAUCUGGAUUUGAAUACAUCCAUGCUCAAAAGGAGAUUUCUCAUAAUGGACCCAACUGAAAGCACUCAGAGUACAAGGACCGGUGAGCUUUCAAAAGGAGACACUUCGGGAGACUCGCCAGGGGCCCUCGUAUCCCCGGCAGCGCGAGUUUUGGAGGUCAGUGGAGGGCUCUCGCAUCAUGCAUGUAACUUUCAUACUCAAAAACUUACCUUCAUCCUGCAUCCCUCACCCCCCUGCAGAAACUUGGGGCUUGAAUUCAUUUAAAAACAUUUGCGGUUUCAGAAGCCUUCUUUUUAUUAUGAAGCUGCCAAGGAGAUCUUAGAAUGAAAGGCAUUUUUAGAGAUGAGAAAGAAGGAAGCCAGGCCAAGGCUGGGCCGGCUCUCAGCCGUGGGUCUGUAAAGGUGACACGUGGGACAUGGCCACCUGCAGACCCUGCAGGCGGCUGGGCAGAGGCACCCACAGGGACCUGGGUUUGAAUCCCUGCUCUGCCAGUCAUUUCCACAGCGAUCUUGGGGGAAGUUGUGUAACCUCUGGGCCCUGCGACGCCCUUUCCUGGAGCCUGGAGCUGGAACGAAGCCCCUUGGAGCCCUGACAUCAGAGGUGACGUUAGUCUUCGCAGGCAAUGACUCGGCGGAAUGUGAUGCCACUCCCUAACCCGUGUCCGGACUGGCAGAGUGUGUGCCGCCUCCCACCAGGUGGUCUGGCUGCUUUGAUGGAUCUCCUAACUUCUCUGCACCCCAGAGCCCUCAGUGCUGGCCAGACCUUCACUCACUCCUGGGUGACAACCCCGUUCUCAGAUAGUGGGUCCCACAGGCUGGCCUGUGGCGCCCCCUGCUGGUGACUGCAGGGAGAAGGAUGCCCUAAGCCAAAGGAAGUCCUUCCUGGGGUCUAAUCUCUACCUUUUGCAUGAUGAGGCAGCUGAGGUGGCUCGCUUUCUCCUCCACCCCAGAAAAUAAAGUCAUAUGGAGUCCAAGCAGUUAUUUUUCUCUGCUAGGCCAGUCCAUCAUAAGCCCCAAAUGGAGGGGCCCCUGGAAUGAGCCCUAUGCAGGCCUUCUAUGGACAAGGGCCCUUCAGGGAGUAGGGCUGUGGUGAGGAUGGGGUGCAUGUGUGUGGGCUCUCACCUGGGUGUGGGAAGAUCAGAGGGACCCCACAGGUCAGUGUUUGCAGAUGAAAAAAUGAAGGUAGGAGCUGGGCACGGUGGCUCACGUCUGUAAUCCCAGCACUUUGGGAGGCCAAGGCAGGUGGAUCACGAGGUCAGGAGAUCGAGACCAUCCUGGCUAACAUGGUGAAACCCCGUCUCUACUAAAAAUACAAAAAGUUAGCCAGGUAUGGUGGCGGGCUCCUGUAGUCCCAGCUACUAGGGAGGCUGAGGCAGGAGAAUGGCGUGAAUCUGGGAGGCGGAGCUUGCAGUGAGCCGAGAUCGCGCCACCGCACUUCAGCCUGGGCUACUGAGCAAGACUCCAUCUCAAAAAAAAAAAAAAAAAAAAAAAGAAGGUAGGAAGCUUCAGCCUGAAGGUAAAGUUUUGGGGCAGCUCCAACCCACUGCCCUCCUGGGACCGGUUUUAUCAGCGUUUCCCUGUAAUUGGUGAAAGGCCUUCAGUUAGCCAUUUCUCUGAAGAUUAGAGAAAGCAAGAGAGAUGUGAGUUAAACACAAGGCGGGACUUCUCAAUGAUGGGGGAUGUCAGACCUCAGAAAGGGGAGCAAAGGAACCUUCCCACUGAGGGCAGCCUCCAGUGAGGUGGGGUCCAGGCCAGGCGGGUGAGAUGGCCCUCAACACUGUCCAUCUGGAGGGGCCUGGGACUAGGUUGUAGUCUAUGGGGGUCUCAGGAUGGAAAGGCCUCUUGAGAGGCUCCUGGUGGCUGGGACUUUUGUGGAUGGGAUGGUGAGGACGGGCAGGGGGAGAGACUGAGGCCCAGAGGCAUUGCCACCCCCAUCCUCCCCCGCCUGGUAAACUCAUCUUCCUGACUCAUUGGCUUGCCUCCUCUGCGGACACUGCCUGGUCCCUGUGCAAGGUCACGUUGCUUGCCCUCCACGAGCUCCCGUCCUGCUGCUGAGCUCAUGUUCUGUGAUGGCAGCCUCUGUGUCCAUCCUCCCUGCUGGACUGUGGGCUCCACACCGGCUGAGACCUGACUGUCUUGCUCCAGCCUGGCUCUAACUCCAGCACCUGGCACAUCUAAUCUUGCCUGGCAUGUCCUGGUGCUCAGUGGCUUCAACUGAGAAGAGGCCCAGGGUCUUCCUUGGUCCAGCUAAGCCUGGCUUUAGAAAGGAUUGGGGCAGACGUAGGGGAGGCAGAGCCCCAAGUCUUGAUGGAUGGGUGACCUGGGCACUCUGACUUUCUGCACAGGGCUACCCCUUUCCCCCAUUGAGACACCCUCCUAACUCAGCUGUAGGCUCUGACACCCCACUUCUGGCUGGCUCUGGCUUCCCACACUGGAACCAUCCCCUGCAUGGCUGCCUUGCUUUGUCUGCCUGGGCUCUGACACCCAUAUCAGGCUGACCCCAUAGGGGUGACAGCCCCUCACUGAUUUGUACUCUGACACCCCUGGGCCAGCCUGCCUUCCCCAGUGGUCCCCCUCCUCACUCUGCUAGGAAUCCUGCUGUGUUCAUCCAUGGUUCCCCCAUUCCCUUGCUCUGCUGCACAUAAUAGUUUUAGGACUGAAUUGUUGAGGAAGGAAAGGAGAGAGGAGGAACAGAACUCUGUUUUUGAAAAAUUAUUUUAACUGUGGACAUUUUUGUGCGAGAAAAAUUUUGGACAGAAUACUAAAUGGAGCUGCUCUGGUUGAAGAAAGAGUGAAAGAGAGGGAGAAAGAGAAGAGAAUGGGAAAGGACAGACAGCAGAGAGGAGAGGGAGAGGGGAGAGAGAGGACAGGGGAGGGAAGAGGAGAGGGGAGGGGAGGGGAGAGAUGAGGGGAGGGGAGGGGAGAGGAGAGGAGGAAGCCCUUCAAUGCCCCUGGAGUCCUGCCCACUUGGUCCCACUCCCUCAGAACUCUCAUCUGUCAUUAAGCUCUUGGGGUUCCUAGGUGUGCAGUUUGGGGACCACCGGACAAGAAUUCUGCCUCAAAUAAAAUGAGUGCCACUUAGCCGCUAAGAUGUCUUCUCUGAGCUUUUCUGAGAAGCAGCCCUGGAGGCAGCGGGCUCACCACCUACCCUGAGUAGCUUCUGAGCCUGGCAGCAGUCACCUGGAGCUUGAGGGUAGCAGCUGCCUCUGCCUGGAGGAGGCAUCUCUGAGCAGGGCCAGGGGGCCCUGGACAGGCAUUGGAGGUGUCCUUCCGGGCCUGGUGGAAGUGGGCUAGGGGCUGUGAGUGAGAAGACUUCUAUAGGCCGAGGCACUGGGUAGACACCUCACCCCCAGCCAUCUGUGGACCCUUUGUGACCCUUUAUGCUCCAUCUCUGUCUCCCCCACAAUCACCGGAGAAACAGGAUCUGGGAAUUCUGCCUUGGUGGCCGAAGCAGAAGUCACUGCCCUCCUAAUGCCACUCAUCGGACCACACAACACUUUCACCGCCAGUCCUUGUGUGAUUUGAUCUUUGCAAAUCAGAGAUAGUACUGUUAAUAAUUUCCCUGCAGGAAAGAGGAAGUUAAGGAUAUGAGGAAUUGCCGUCAGGAUCAGAGCUUCAGACCCCCACACCCUCUCCUGCUGCUGUGUCUCCAACUGAUGCUGAAAGUAAAAGCCGCCACUCACUGGCCGGUUACCUGCCCAGCACUCCACAGAGCUUGUUUUUUGUGACCUUCAUGACAGCUGUGAGUCUCAUUUUAUUGAUAGAGACACUGAGGCCCAGAAGAAACUGGCCCAAGAACACACAGGUGGUGAGUGGUAGAGCUGGGAUUUGAACCCAGGGAGGCUGGCUUUCCUUGGAAGGAUUAUACGAACAUUUUAAUUGGUUUGGCCCACAAGAAUUGAAUUGCGAAGGAAUGAGGCUUCCCAAGCCUUUCAUCAGACCGUCCGCAGUCUCUUGUAGCUGUCUUCAGCUCAGGGACAUCAUUAAAAGGAACUUUGCAGCUUGGGCAACAAGAUCAUCACUACGAAGAGCAAAACAGGCCACUUGCCCACCUUGACAGAGCUGGUAAGUGGCAGAGCCAGGACCAUCCAGACGGCUCAGCUUCCAAGCCAGCAAGCCUCAUCGCCAUGCAGUUUGUCCCCAGGGAGGAAGGAUGCUUCUGGUCCCAGGGUCCAGGAUGCUCUACCCUCCUUCCUCUAGGAUAUCCAGGGGGCCAGCUUUAGUGAGAGGAGAGUGCAUGGUCCAGCCUUCUGGGGGCACCCAGAGUGUCCCCUUCCACUCCCAGCUUCCCACUUCUGCUCCACUGUCUCCCUGCAGGAGGCUCUGGGAAGGCAGAGAUGGAGCUGUGGUCCCCACCGCCUUCUGUGGCAGCUCACUUUCAUUCAUUUUCUUUAAAUGCUUCUCACUCUCUGUUUUUAAAUCUAAUUUUUCAGCUUCUUUUUCAUCUUCAUUCAAGUUGCUUUAAUGAAACGAAAAUGUGUCUGUUUCCCUCUGCUGGAGCUGCCCGGGGAAUUUCAAUAUAAAACAAACAAGUUGGCUUUUAAAAUUAAAAUUUUAUGGGUGGCAUUUCCUCAUUUAAUGGGUGGCACAAAAGAGUGGAGUAAAACCAAUUAACAUGGGGUUGAGACUCGGUGUUCAGAAAAACUAAACAACAGGAGCGCGGUGCGCCAGGAGCCAGGAGCAGUUCCAGCAGAGGCUGGGGAGGUGCGCGGGUGAGGCAGUUGUGGAGGCUCCCCCCACUCCCUGGCAGCUGUGUGCACCCAGGUCGGGCACUAGCACAUACAGGGAUGCCAGCCUCAGCUCCCCACCCAGCUCUACCCCCAGGACCCAUGCCCAGGGGUUGGUGUGCACAUCUACCUUGCACAUUCAGAUGGCAGGCGAUAGUGGGGGCUGAGAAUGUGGAGGGGCGGGGGAGGCUGCCUUGGAGCCCUGGGGUCCUGGACACUGUUGUCUGGAGAAGCAUUAGGAAGUAGCUAAGGCCUCUGCCAGGGCCAGCAUUCAUUCGGAUAGUUAUCCUCUGACGCAAUCUGAGUCCUACUCACGAGGGCCUCAUCUUCAUCAUGGCUAUGCCCCAGGGCCCAGACCGCACCAGGAGUGUGGCAAGUGCUGCAUAGAUGCUGGAUACCUGGAUGAAUGACUUCAUUCCGGCAAACAAUACUAAUGGAAAUCCUGCUCUGCUGUGACUCCCUCAGGGUGGGUGUCACCCGGCAUAGGGUGUGUUUGGGGUAGAAAUGGUGAAGAUACCACAGGAGAUCUGAGGAGCAGGGGCAUGCCUGGGUGGCGCUGCAGGGAGAGAAUGGCUCUGUGGAACUGGCAAGGGCAGAGUGAACAGGGCUGGAGAAGAGGCAGUCCGGGCAAGGGCGGGGUGGGGAGGGAGCUGAGAAAUUGAGGUGGCUGAAUCUGGCCUGGAAGGAAGUAGGGGUAAGAAGAUGAGUCUGGAGAGACCAGUCGGGGCUGGCUUGUGAAGAGUGGCAGGUUGCUUUGACUUCAUCUCAGGGCAAUGGGGACUUGCUGCAGGCUCAGAGCAAGGUGAUGUGAUUCCAGGUGGCUUCAGGGACACUGACUCUGGAGGCUGGUGGGAGGGAAAGGAGAGUCCCGCCAGGUGUGCUGGCAUCCCUGCAGGCUGAGCUGAGUACUUCAGGCUGGUUGGU
rnacentral:lncRNA from 1 species